AGGAGUGAGGAUGUUGGAGGCGGCGGCGCUGGUGGUGCUGGUGCUGGUGGUCACCGUCCGUGUGGUGUACCGAUGGCUCUCCGGCCGCUGCAACUCCUCCACCACGCUAGACGGCAAGACUGUCAUCAUCACCGGCGCUUCUGCAGGGAUAGGGAAGGAGACGGCCAAGGACCUGGCAGGACGUGGGGCGAGGGUCAUCAUGGCCUGCAGGAACGUGGAGAAGGCUGACAAAGUGGCAACUGAGAUCCGGGUAGCGACCAACUACCGCGGGGAGGUUGAGGUCCGCAGACUUGACACUUCCGACCUCGCCUCCGUCAGAGAGUUCGCUAGGAAGAUCCUCGAAAACGAGAAGUCCCUCCACAUCUUGAUCAACAACGCUGGGAUCAUGGGUCCACCCAGACGAGAGGUCACCGCGGACGGCCUGGAGCUCACCAUGGCUACCAACCACUACGGCCACUUCCUCCUCACCAACCUCCUGCUGGGUCUCCUGAAGAAGAGCGCCCCGAGCCGAAUCAUCAACGUCACCUCCGACAGCCACGACUACGUCAGUAGACUCAACCCGGACAGUCUCAACUUCGAGCGGGACGACUACACCUCCAUGACGGCUUACGGCCAGAGCAAGCUCUGUAACAUCCUCUUCACCCUCGACCUCACCAGCAAGCUCCAGGGCACAGGUGUGACAGCCAACAGUGUCCAUCCCGGGUGUGUGUCCACGGAGAUAUUCUACAAAGGUCAAGUGACCUUAUUCGCUUGGGUGUGCGGCAAGCUCUUCUAUCUGAUGGGCAAGGACGCCAAGCUUGGAGCUCAACCUGUGAUUUACCUGGCAGUGUCGGAGGAGGUCGAGGACGUCUCCGGUCACUACUUCGUUGACUGCAAGGACACCCCGACGACGGAGCUGGCGCAGCAGAGGAAGCUGGCGCGGCACCUCUGGGAAGCUAGCGAGGUCGACGUCAAGCUUCAGCCCCACGAGAGGUUCUACUAAACUACGACACUUCAUAUUGAGAUACGUUGCAAUAGGAGACAUGUGUUGGUGAGAAAUGCUAGUAAGGGGCAAAGCUAGGUGAGAAAUGCUGUAUAGGAAACAUUUAAACAGCUUUGCUACUGAGAAAACUUGGAAAGUUCAGGAAAAACUCCCCAACUCUAAGAAAUCUUCCUAGUGAGGAACUCUUCAAUUUUGACAAGAAAAAAGUAGUAAGGCUUUACUCGUUUCAAGGAUUCUAAGCCUUACUCGUCCUUACGACAGGAUUAUUUAUUAAUUGGUGAGACGAUAAAGAAAGUAUGAAUUUCCUUCGUCAUUAAGAAGUUGAAGAUAUGAAAGAAAAUUAGACGAUGGAAAAAAGCCUGAAACAUAACGACUCAGAUUUUCCUUGGAUACAAAAAACCUCUUGAGGUUGAACAGUGCAUAAUAAGAUACACCAUGACGGAAAAAUAUGAUAAAAUAUGUUGACAUUCGGCUGGUGAAGAAUAUUAAGAAAGGAAACAGGAAGGGAAAGAAGAAGUGAAAGAAGAAGAAGGGAAAGAAGGAGACAAAGUAAAUAAUAAGAGCCUCGGUUCUUCAUGGUUUUACCAUUAUGUAUAAAGCCAAAUAUUCUCCAGGUUCUCCGCCAAUCCCAACUUUCUGAACACCCUGAAGGCUGUAUUUAUACAAGAUGAUGGCCCAUCUGCGGUCUAUACAACAAGAUGGUCCCUGUCUGCGGUCUAUACAACAAGAUGGUCUCCUGUCUGUAGUUUAUACAACAAAAUUUAGAUACCCGAGCACAUGAAUGCUCUGGCUGUGUUGUGUUGACAGAUGACUCCACCUUCACUGUGUACUAAUAUAAAUGUCACUUAACAUUAAAUAAAAGAUACAAGUAUGUGGUAAUGGUAUGAUCAAGCAAACAACAGGGCCAUACUUCCUGGUGAGCCAAGAAAAUGGUUCUUAGCUUGUAUAAUGCAUGGUAGGAACUCUCCUUAUUCGUGUAGAGCACUUUAGUGCUAGUGAAUAAAUAGGAAGAAAUUGGAAAUAGAAGUCCAUAAUUAUAGUUACUUAAUUUCUUCUCUCUUCCAGUAUCAUCAGUUUCUACUGUACCCUCUUAGUCUACGCACGCUGUUUGUAAAUAUCAUUGUUUACAACAUUUAUCAAUAAAUGUUUUGGUUUACCCUUGCAAUUAUUUUUGACAAAUGUCUUCAUGCACUGUGGCAGUUCCAUAUGUUCACGCUUGCUAUUCUCUGCAAAAGAUGGCUGGCUUACCUCUACUACACCUGUAAACUAUCUAAAUUUCUAUACAAUAUAACUUCCGGGCGUUAAUUGGCUUAAGGCAGGAGAAAGUGCAAAGGCAAUAUGACUACUGGAAGGGAUACGAGGAAGGAGGGAAGGAAUAGUGCCCAACCACUUUAGGUAUCAGGGAUCGAACGCCAUCCCAGCAAGAAGCGCACUCAACCCGAAAGACUCUCGGGUUAGUUAGUGUAGUUAGCGAGAGGCUGGUGAGUUAGCGAGACUAGUCUCCACACCAGGUAAACUGUUGUUCAUGCUAGUCUCAUUUGUGGAAACUUAUUUACGAAAGAUAGAAUACAUUAGCAUCAUUAACAGUCUAACACGCAUAGGCAGAAGUUGUCACAUUAACCAACUGCCCAUUACAAGUUUGUUCUGUUAAUACUCGGUGUUCGUUCAUAGCAACAUAUGGUAUACGGUUAUGUAUUUCACAAAAAGUUAAAAAAAUAAAAAAAUAAGUAAAGAAUU
rnacentral:misc_RNA from 1 species